rnacentral:sRNA from 1 species
AGACCAAUUAACCGGGCUUAGCGACCGCCCC